GCAUGUGCGUGUGUGUGUGCUGUGAUCAGGAGGGAGUUUCCCAGGGUGAGGCUUAUCUGUUGCACUUGGAUGUGCUGGCCUCUGAGAUUUCCCCAAAUGUAGAAAGUUCAAUUAUAUGGUUUCUGAUAGUGGGGGUGAGGGCUGUUCUCGAGUUCUCCCCUU